CUUGGGUACUCGAGUGGCGAACGGGUGAGUAACACGUGGGUGAUCUGCCCUGCACUUCGGGAUAAGCCUGGGAAACUGGGUCUAAUACCGGAUAGGACCACAUUUUGGAUGGUGUGUGGAAAGUUUUUCGGUGUGGGAUGAGCUCGCGGCCUAUCAGCUUGUUGGUGGGGUAAUGGCCUACCAAGGCGUCGACGGGUAGCCGGCCUGAGAGGGUGUACGGCCACAUUGGGACUGAGAUACGGCCCAG
rnacentral:rRNA from 1 species